rnacentral:rRNA from 1 species
UACGUAGGGCGCAAGCGUUGUCCGGAAUUAUUGGGCGUAAAGAGCUCGUAGGCGGCCAGUUGCGUCCGCUGUGAAAUCCCGGGGCUUAACCCCGGGCGUGCAGUGGAUACGGGCAGACUAGAGUGCGGUAGGGGAGACUGGAAUUCCUGGUGUAGCGGUGAAAUGCGCAGAUAUCAGGAGGAACACCGGUGGCGAAGGCGGGUCUCUGGGCCGUAACUGACGCUGAGGAGCGAAAGCGUGGGGAGCGAACAGG